rfam:Schistosoma haematobium scaffold87_13, whole genome shotgun sequence.
AUCCAACUUAAAAGUCCCAAACAAGACGAAACGCUCGUCUUGAAU